rnacentral:lncRNA from 1 species
GUUUCCAAAUACACGAUUUAUAAGCCCAGAGAUCUUUUAGAUCACUAGGCUGUAAUUUAAUGCACAUAAAAGGAAUGGUUUAAUAGCUAUCUUUGUCACCUCUAAAAUGUAGACACUAUAGUCUCUUCCGUUUUAUUUUCCACCAAAAGCAUAUAUUUAAAUGUUAAUUUAUUUUCUUUUCAUUUGUAGGACCCAACCACGUCACUCUCUGCUAAUUUCUUCUCAUUGCUGAGGCAAAAGACCAAAAUUUUACUUAUUUGUUAAAUUUAAAACACCUCUAUAAUACUAAUUGUGUAUUAGGCACUGUUCUAAGAACUUUACAAAUCUUAGCUCAUUAAACUCUAUAAGGUAGGUGUAGUCAUGCAUUGCUCAAUGAUGGGGAUACAUUCUGAGAAAAGCACUGUUAGGGGAUUUUGUCAUUGUUUGAACAUCAUAGAUUGUACUUAUACAAACCUAGAUGGUGUAGCCUACUACACACCUAGGCUAUAUGAUACUAAUCUUAUGGGACCACUGUAGUAUAUGUCAUCCAUCAUUGACUGAAAUGUUGUCAUAUGGCACGUGUCUGCACUAUUAUCAUCACCCUUAUUUUUCAGAUGAGGAAACUGAGGCACAGGAAGGUUAAGUAACUGUGUGCUGUAACACAGCUAGCAAGCCUUCAUCAUCUGGCUCCUGCCUAUGUCUCAGACCUCAUCUCGUUUCUCCCUAUUGCUCUCUCUUUUUGGUUAUCUUUGUGUCUCUGUACAAGUAUAUUGAGCCUGCAAUACAUUCUUCCCUGCUAUUCACUUGUUUGGUUCCCAGUGGUGGUAAUACUAUAUUAUGAAUGUAUUUGAAAACGGCAGAAUUCUAACAGCCACAAUUCCCUUGACAGUGGGAUUUGAUGAUUCUUAAUCAAAAGGCCUAAGGUGGUUUUUAUUUACCUCUCUGACAUCUGUGCUUCCCUGAGUCUUCCGCAUCUCUGUUGGGAGGACAACUGUUCACCCCUAUUUUAGGCUUCCCUAUUUGUAUAGGGAGGACCACCAUACAUACUUGUCUUCUCUUUUCCCUGUCUCUUUUGGCAGGACUACUAUACAGCCAUGCGUUAAGGCCUAACACCUUGGAGUUUUCCUUGACUCCUCUCUGGCUCCCAUACCCCACAUCCCAUCUCUCAGUGGAUCCUGUCAGUUCUACCUUCAUAACCCGUCCUGAACCUAACUACCUCUCUCCUCCACCUCUACUGGAUUAAUCCUAGCCACUAUCAGCUCUUGCCUGGACCACUGCAAGACCUCCUCUUGGUCUUGCUUCUUCUUUUGCCCCUUCCAGUAUACUCUCCACAGGCAGCCAGAGUGAUCAGGUCACUCCUCUGUGCUCACCUCCAAUGGCUUUUAGUAACAUCCAGAACACAAUCCAGUGUCUAACCAUGGCUUAUGAAGUCCUUCAUGAUCUUGCCCACAUCUAUCUCUUCAUCUUCAUUUCAAUCAUGUUUCCCUUGCUUGCUGCUUUCAGGUCCACUGGAACCCUUCCUUCUGCUCUAGGAGCACUCCAAGAGACCUCUCACCUCGGACACUAUGUUCACUUGCUAUUCCCUUCUGGAACCCUCUUUCCUCAGAUUUGUCCGUGGAUGCUCCUUCUAGUCUUCAUGUCUCUGCUCAAACUUUAUAUCCUCAGAGAGGCCUUUUCUGUCCCAUUGUUCUUUCUCCCCUAACCCUGUUUAUUUUCCUUCAUAGUACCUGACCUUUUUUUUUUUUUUACUACAUAUUUAUUUGCUGUUCUCUGUCUAGAUGUACAGGGUUUCAGCACCUGGAAAAAUACCUGGCACACAUUAAGAGUUUAUUAAAUAUUUGAAAUAAAUGGAUGGAUGAAUUAUUGAAGAAUUGAAAAUGAAUACGGGAGAAGAGACAAUUAGAUACUUUCAAAAAGAUUUCUGCAGAGAGAAGCAAGGGAGCUAGAAGGCAGUCUAUCUAGGGAUGAAUCACUCCCCUUGAGAACAAAAGGAAAUUUAACUACUCAGGGAACAAAGUGAGUCCAAGGUGAGGGAGCCCUCCCUGCCCCUCUUUGUUUUAUCUGCCUGUUGCCUGUCUGUGGGGCCCCCAUCCUGCUGGUGGGAGGCUUAGGGAUGAGUACCUGAUUUGCCACUACCAAGCAGAACUGCUGUGCUUUCCUCUCUUCCUCUGUGCUUGGGGUCUCACUGGGAGUGGGCCAACAGAAGUUUGGUGCACAGGAUGGUAUUCUCUCCCAGGAUGGUUUGGAACGCACUGAGAGCCUAAUUCAUCCACUUGGGAGUGAGGUUCUUAAGGAGAAACUCAGUGCUUUGGCUGAAUAGCAGAGCCUUUUUCAGAGAAACUCUCCAAGGAGUUUCUACACAGGCUUCCUAGGGUAAAGCAGUUAUUUGUAGCAGUUUUAGGACUCUUUAUAUUCCAGUUUCAUCUCUUCUCAUUGAUUUUGCCAUUUGUGGCUUAUAAUGGAAAUGAAAAUAGCUGGUGCAGAUGGAAGAGUUACAAGAUGCUUCUCUGUAUCUUGUAGCUGGGGCACUCUUGGGGAAUCAGCUGAAUGAGUAUUUGCUUCCUAAACUCUUCUCUGGGUUUCACCAAGUUGGGGUCACUUGCAAGGUGAUCAUCAAUUCUGUGGAUUGGUUCAUAUUGUGCGGUGUGAAAACAGAUGAAAGAAUCUGGACCAUCCCCCAACAUAAAAGCUUAGACGAGAACAAAAAUAUAUAAGUGCUGACAAUUUAUACUAAUUUUAAGAAUCCACUUUGCUAAAACAGGAUGAAAAAAUACAUUACAUUGGAAUAACUUCCCUAUACCCAGUUAUUAGGGGACAAUGAAAUGUUCAUUUUACUGUAGCUUGAUUAUGAUGCUGACGUCAUAAUCAAGUCAAGAUAUAUAUGGUAGCAUCUCAUGUAUAUAGAGGUCAGCUUGGAACACAGCUUUGAUCUGGAAAAGUAAGCAUAAAAGGUCUGUGAUGAUAUGAAGCAGGAGACUCAUGUCCCUGCAUGAGAGCCAGGCCCCUUAGUACUUCCUAUUCCUGAUUCCCAUUCCCAUUUAGUAUUCUAGUCCCAACAUUUUCAGUUAUCUUCUUUUCCAAGCCCAGAGCAGCUAAGAAGUAGAAAAUUGGAAGAGGGCAAAGAAGGAUGCAAGUCAAAGUCACACUGAUGGGAGACAGGAAUGACAGCUGACAGCAAGGGAGGUGACAGCAAAGCUUAAGCAGCAAUGCAGGACUGCCAUAGACUUUGUCUGCAAGUCUAGGACAGGCAGAGUGGAAGUCUGUAUAUGGAAGAGGUAUUUUUCAAAGGAAGGGAUGGCUUUCUUUCCUUUUUUCUGAAGAUGGUGCCUCUUCCUGCAUUCAGGGUCCCAGUCCCAUCAGUCAAUUUUGAAUCCUUACUCCAUAAAUCCGUUCUCUUUUCCUUACUCACGUAUUUAACCUUUUCUACUCAACUUAUGAAUAGUUUCACAACUCUUCCAUCUUAAGCAACACUCUCCAACUUUCCAUCCUGAAUCUGUUGCCCUUUCUCCCCACAACACCUCAUUCCUGUCAAGUUUUUGCAAGAGAGGUCCAUACUUCCUGUAUACACUCUCUCUCUUCCUUUGACUUGUCUCCCCUUGCAUCCUUGGUUCUGCCCUAGUAUUCCUCAGAAGUGCCCUCACUUUCAUACUCUGGCCCUAAUCACAAAUAAUCACCUAAUGCCAAACUCGGUGUGUAUUUUAAUGCUCAUUUUAGUUAACCUCUCUUUGGCAUCUUAACCAUUCCUUCUUUUCAGUCUACCUCUAUUUGUUAACACUCAUGACCACUCACCUUGGAAACCGUCUCUCCCGGGUCAAAAAUAGAAAAGAUCAUCUUUGUUCUAAACUGUUUUCUCCACCUGUAUUUCCUUGUCUUGAUGAAUGCCAGCACCAUCUGCUCUGUCACCUGAGACUGAGCCUCAACUCCCUCUACUGACAAGCUAGUCAAGCACAUUCUCCAUGUCUAUAAUUAGGUUUAUGAUUUCCUUUUAUUUCUUUCAUAGAGUUUCUGUUCCCCUGCUUAGAUUGCCCAUCUGUUCUUUAUAUAUUGUCUUCCUAUUUUUUCUCUUGGAGGCCUUUACUUAUUAAUCAUAGUCACUUUCAAUUCCCUGUAUGAUAAUUCCAACAUUUAUGUCACAGCUGAGUCUGGUUCUGAUGAUGGUUUUUUCUCUUCAGACGGUGUUUUUUCUUGCCUUUUGUCAUACCUUGCAAUUUUUUGUUGAAAGUUGGGUAUGUUAUAUUGGGUUAUAGGAACUGAGAGAAAUAGUUGUUUAGUGGGAGGAUUUAUGUUUAUCAGGCUAGGAGUUAGGCUGUGUUUAAUGUUUAUUUUAGCUGUAGGUACCACAGGCUUCAGUUUCCUCUAGUCCUUGUUUGUUCUCUCUUUUGGCUUUGAGGCUUCUCUAUGUACUGCUCCUUGGAGAGAGUCUACAUCUUGUACUUCUUUUAGCUGUAAUCCCCCCUUAUUACACUGGAGUUGGUUGGUGCAGUAGGAGGAUGUGGAGGAGGGGGUGUGUUCUAUGAUCUAACAGGGAGCCUAUGUCUUCAGGGUGUGGCCUUCACAAGGUUUCUGUCCGUCCUCCAGUGCUAUAGCCCUUUCCCCCUUGCCCCAUCUUCCAUUCCUGGGGGCAGAUUUCCCAGUCUAUUUCCUUGAAGCCAAGUCAUCCCCCCACCACCAUGUUUAUGUGUGGCAGGAAGGCUGGAGGACACUGGCGUAGGGAGGAAUUCCUUUCCCCCAGGCCCACUGAGAUGCACCAAGACUGACAGAAAAGAAAUGUCUUGAGGAUGCUCAGUUUUCAGGAGUUUGUGAGGAAGAUGUAGAGGAUGCUGUGUGUGCUGUCGAGAUGCCAUUUGGGAUUCAAGGGCAUAUUCCUUCAGCUGCCCAAGGUUGGCCUCCUUCCUGGGAGAGCCUUUAUCCAAUGACUUGUUGACUCAAGGCUCAACCUUCUCUCCCGGCUUGCUACAACUCGGAAGGACCAUCCAGCCUCAGAGCUUCCUCUGGAGUCGGCAGAGGUCUUCAUUGAGAAUCCAUUCAGCCCAGCUUCUCCCUCUGUCUAUUUUUGUUUUUUUUCCCUUCCCUUCCACAGGUGUUGACCCCAAGAAUACUCCCUAAUAAACCUUCU